rfam:Myotis brandtii contig280081, whole genome shotgun sequence.
GGUGGUUCUCGGGUGACAUACCCCGGAAUCAGGCUCCCUCCUCUCUCGUUCUGGGUGCAUCACCUGAGAACUGCA